rnacentral:rRNA from 1 species
UACGGAGGGUGCAAGCGUUGCUCGGAAUUACUGGGCGUAAAGCGCGUGUAGGCGGUUUCGUGUGUCUGAUGUGAAAUCCCCGGGCUCAACCCGGGAAGUGCAUUGGAAACUGCGAGACUAGAGUCCCGGAGAGGAAGGUGGAAUUCCAGGUGUAGCGGUGAAAUGCGUAGAUAUCUGGAAGAACACCGGUGGCGAAGGCGACUACCUGGCCUGUUCUUGACGCUGAGGCGCGAAAGCUAGGGGAGCAAACGGG